AGCGAACGCUGGCGGCAGGCUUAACACAUGCAAGUCGAACGCUCGCAGCAAUGCGGGAGUGGCAGACGGGUGAGUAACGCGUGGGAACGUGCCCUUUGGUUCGGAAUAACCCAGGGAAACUUGGGCUAAUACCGGAUAAGCCCCUUACGGGGGAAAGAUUUAUCGCCGAAGGAUCGGCCCGCGUCCGAUUAGCUAGUUGGUGAGGUAAUGGCUCACCAAGGCGACGAUCGGUAGCUGGUCUGAGAGGAUGAUCAGCCACACUGGGACUGAGACACGGCCCAGACUCCUACGGGAGGCAGCAGUGGGGAAUAUUGGACAAUGGGGGCAACCCUGAUCCAGCCAUGCCGCGUGAGUGAUGAAGGCCCUAGGGUUGUAAAGCUCUUUCGACGGGGACGAUAAUGACGGUACCCGUAGAAGAAGCCCCGGCUAACUUCGUGCCAGCAGCCGCCGUAACAC
rnacentral:rRNA from 1 species